rnacentral:tRNA from 1 species
AGUCCUGUAACUCAGUGGGGAGAGUGCCUCUCUUACAAAGAGGCAGUCGCGGGUUCAAGCCCUGCCAGGACUACCA